GCACAUGCAUAAGUGCUCGCUAAAGUUGGAACGAUACAGAGAAGAUUAGCAUGGCCCCUGCGCAAGGAUGACAGGCAAAUUUGUGAAGCACAUGCAUAAUUG